GGUUUUUCGCAUCAUGAGAAUGCACUAGGUUGGAUAAAAAGUUCCAGCCGUAUGAUUCAUGGUUCAAAAGCUCACAUCAUUGACAAUCGGCUGUGGAAUUUAGCCUCCUAUCCUAUAGGCCUUCUCUCACUCAGAAUUUUUAUGUGACGUGCUCCUCAAACUUGGCCACACUAGUUGAGAUUGUUCGGAGCAUAACUUUGUCAACUGGCCUUCCUCCCUUCUCCUGUCACACUCAGUGAAUAUUGUUUAUCUGUCUCUAACUAACUAUGAGAUAAACCAUGGAAUUAAAUAUUCCCCUUUGGGUGAUUCCCCAUGUAGCAUACGUCGGACUCGAUACAUAACCAGGAACAAUGUGUUUGUGGAGGAGUGAUACUAAGCAGCUGUGCUUGCCCCUGCCCCUGCCCAGUGUUGGCUAGCUAAUUACGACGGAAAAUGCCUGGAGAAGCCGUGGACGGACAGGUCCACCCAGCCUGACCGCGUGCCGGGUAUUUCUCAGACAGCCUUAUUUCCAGUGCGUGUUGGUUUCAUUAUUUCUGCCAAGUCAGACUGCAAUUAAGAGAUUAAAGCGCGACGACUAACGCAAAAGGAGGCAGCAGCUCAAGGCCGGAGACGGAGCAUAAAGACUGACGCAAUCCAGCGCGCCUGCGGCAAGCUUGAAGGUCCAGUAUGUUUCGCAUUGUGCGCUGUUCAGAGGUUGUCCAUGGCAGCCUGUCCAGGUGCCCAUCUGAUUGCGCUGUCCCUUGGAGGAAUUCAUCGAGGUCCCUCCAUCUGCAUAGUUUUCCCUACACGAGAUUUAAGUAAAUAUGUCAAGGAUCCUUUCACCCUGCUUUGUUCUUCUUGGAGAGAAACACUCAAAGACAAGUUUAUGUUUCUGACCAGAUAUAACCGCACUACAAUAUUCUGGCAGAGCAACAGUCAUAUUGUCCGUUACUCAAUGUGUGUCUCAGCACGUACAAUGAACUGAAAUUAAUUAUUUCAUAUUUAAAAUAAUUUCUGAAGUAUUCCUGAAGUAAACCGUAAAGUAACUCUGAGGGAAAUGCAUUGGCUAGCGGUUGGCAGCACAGAAAGAUGCUCUUUUGUUGUACUCAGUUCUGUACUCCUAUGUGGCCAUUAAUGUGGAAAAUAGUCACUGGCCCGCAGGUGGGCAGGUCAAAGCGCCACACAACACAUACCACAACUGCAGUGCUCCCUGCAAUCCCAGCACUCCAAUUCAAAAUGGUGCAGUCACACAAUGUGGACAAAAAGUCUGAUAAUAAUAACAACAAGAACAACAAUAAUAAUAAUAAUUAUUGUUAUUA